rnacentral:rRNA from 1 species
UACGGGGGGGGCUAGCGUUGUUCGGAAUUACUGGGCGUAAAGGGCGCGUAGGCGGCCACCGCAAGUCGACUGUGAAAUCUCCGGGCUUAACCCGGAAAGGUCAGCCGAUACUGCGGGGCUAGAGUGCAGAAGGGGCAACUGGAAUUCUCGGUGUAGCGGUGAAAUGCGUAGAUAUCGAGAGGAACACCUGCGGCGAAGGCGGGUUGCUGGGCUGACACUGACGCUGAGGCGCGAAAGCUAGGGGAGCGAACGGG